rnacentral:rRNA from 1 species
GGGUGAGUAAUGCUUGAGGAACAUGCCUUGAGGUGGGGGACAACAGACCCUUGGAAACGACUGCUAAUACCGCAUAAUGUCUACGGACCAAAGGGGGCUUCGGCUCUCGCCUUUAGAUUGGCCCAAGUGGGAUUAGCUAGUUGGUGAGGUAAUGGCUCACCAAGGCGACGAUCCCUAGCUGGUUUGAGAGGAUGAUCAGCCACACUGGGACUGAGACACGGCCCAGACUCCUACGGGAGGCAGCAGUGGGAAUAUUGCACAAUGGGCGCAAGCCUGAUGCAGCCAUGCCGCGUGUGUGAAGAAGGCCUUCGGGUUGUAAAGCACUUUCAGUCAGGAGGAAAGGUUAGUAGUUAAUACCUGCUAGCUGUGACGUUACUGACAGAAGAAGCACCGGCUAACUCCGUGCCAGCAGCCGCGGUAAUACGGAGGGUGCGAGCGUUAAUCGGAAUUACU